UCCCUUGUGGCUCAGCUGGUAAAGAAUCCACCUGCAAUGUGGGGGACCUGGGUUCAAUCCCCAGGUUGGGAA
rnacentral:tRNA from 1 species